CCCGCGGGUCGCCCGCUCCCGCGCGCCCCUGUUGCUCCCUCCUCGAUUCUGAUCUGGAUCGAGGGGACGAGGAGCUCCUACCUCCCCGACGGCCGGCCUCCUCCUCGCCCCGCCGCUGCGUCCGGCGCCGCCACGGCCUCUGGAGCACGGCUCCGAUGAGGAACCCACCCACGGUGUGCGAGGGGUCUCUUCCCGUACGUCAAGGCAUCCCGCCUCACGUUUCCUCUUUUGGCAUCAUGGGCCGCCGCCGCACUCCCUCCCCCGGCUGCCCCGCGGGCUUCUAUCUCUCCCAGCUCCGCUGCCGCGCCCCGCCUUCCAUCUCUACAUGAAUCGUUGUUGUGGAAGCCAUGCCCCACCGCGCCACCCGGCGGCCAUCUAGGCACGCCGUGUCCAGGAUGAUGGAGUUGAGUCGGCCAGGUCCCUGUUCCCGUUGGCAUCGGGACCCGUGGGGGCAAGCCGCGCGCUGCUCAUCUGCGUCGAUGGCGUCGGCGCGGCCUUCCCCUGCCAAGACCGGCGGCUCCUUGGCUGGAUCCUCUCCUCUCCUCUCUUCCACCUCUCGUGGUCGGGUGCUCCUUCCGUCGAUGUCGAGGUCUUAGUCUCGGUGAUUUCUCCUUGUAUGUUCUGUUGAUAUUGGUACCGUGUUCUGAACCUUGCUGCUUUGGAAAGGGUGGGGUUUCAGUUUUGAUGGUUCUGUUCAAUUCAAGGGUGGUUCGAACACCAGUGCAGUACGGGCUGGGACAGACAUCAUCUUGUCUCUGUCUCUACUAAUUCAAAUUACAUGUAACUUAUUCCCUCAAAAAAAUUACAUGUAAUUUAUUCAGUUCUACAGCAGCCAAGUGCGGGGCAUCGCACCGAUGACAGUGACUGCAAUGAGGGUGAGAUGCCGAUGUUCGUGCCGGCGCCGGAGACUGUGACCACAACUCGGGGCAAGGUGCUGGUGUCAGCGACGUCGCUCGUGUUAGCCCCUUGAGUUUUGGACCUGCCGUGCUCUGGUUCUGGAAGCUGCCAUUCCCAUCGAGCCCCUCCAGCAGCCUUCAGGAGCUCAGCUUUGUGAUCAGUCAUUUAAAGUAUUUGAGAAACUUGAAGGGAAGCACAUGGCAAAGCCAUAAUUACCUUUUAGUUAUAUUUCAAGUUGUAGGAUGGAGAGGAGAAGACUGAAAAGGAUGUUGAUAUGAGGAAUUCAAGGAAGUGGAAGAGGAAGAAAGUUCUGAUGAUGGUGAUAAUUAGUUUGACGACGAUGAUGAUUGGAACCAAGAGGAGGAAGUACUUGCCGCUAAAACCCACCAAAAAAAUAGCAAGAAAAUUGAUGGUGGGAGCUAGCAAUGCCAGCAGUGCCUCCUUUAGGAUUACAAAAUCGGUAAUCCUAUCUUCGCUUGCAUGUGACUGAUGGUGAUGCUACACAAGUUCUGAAGGCAGUGCCCUCCCCUUCAGCAGGAGAUCUUGCUGGUUCUGCAUGGCACAACUGGAUUAAAUAUGCUACAGCAAGCGAAGGAGUUCAACGAUGUUGUUGGAAUCAAAGGAUUCAUCCUAAUGAAAUUAGACGGGACUGCUCGUGUUGGCUGUGUGUUAUGGGCGAUUUCCAAUCCUUUAUUGUAACAGAUACAAAUUCCAGUCCUGGAUCUUAAAUAUACGACAACUAAACUUGCUGACCUGAAUCCUGUCUCAGAAACAGAAGCAAGUACGGCCACAACCUCCAAUACUACUACGACUGAUGGCUAUCCUCUACCCGAGGAGAAAAACUGCAUUCAGAGGGUUACGGAAUGGCAAUGGGUGGGUUACCUCCCAGGAGCAGAUGACUGGCAUGGUUAGUGAUCACUAGGCCAUGAAUCUCAUGGAUCGCAUGAUACAGUAUUUUUAUGGUGCAGGUAUCUGGUCUAGAUCCGACGGAGACAAGAAAAAUCGUGCCGCUGCUUCUUCUUUCGAUUGAAAAUCCAGGUGAAAACUUUCAGGAACUCAGGACGACACGCAUUGAUUAUAUUUCAUUGUGAUGGCCGUUGCCGCCACAGCUACUAUGGGUACAAGCAACUUCUAUUUCGCUCGUCACCGGAAACCACCGCCCAGAUCCAUCUCUUCUCAACUAUGCCGACGUGGUGGUCAGGGGCGCUUACAACUUGUGAGGGCCUGCGUUCUUGCUGUUGAUCCGUGAUGGCAUGGCCUCCCCGCGCCCUAGCCGCAUUCUAGCUGAUGGUUUGGGUUUGCCGGUGGAGGGAGAGGGGGACGACCUCUGUCGCUCCUUCUCUCUAGCCUCUUCAUCUUGAUGAAGCCGUAGGAGUAGAGGGGCACGCGCGUGAUGGAUCUGCUCCAAGCACCUCAAGCCACGCAUCUUCAAGGUGAUCACUUCAUCCACAUUCAAUCUCAGUUCCCGCGUUUACUCCGAGGAGAGUUCAAAAGCAGCAGGAGCAGUUGUUCUACUGCUGGUCGGAGGGAGAGCUUGGCAAGAGGGAUAGAGGGAGCUCUACAACCACGAUCUUGGCAUACGACCCGAUGGCAUCAUGCCCAACUUGUGUGUUUCAUUGAUGGAGGAGGUAUAAAUCUGUUCCUUAAAGCGAGCAAAUCAAAACAAAAAUGCAGGAGGUAUCCGACAACACUGACGAUACGCCAUUCCACUUAGACCUGAGGGCAACAUCAAAGGACGCCACCGACAGCAGAGAUCAACAAGUUCUUCACCGUCGGGGAGAAGGUGGAGGUCGAAUGUUUCACCGUCAAGUGCAGACUUAUCGUUCAGCUACAGUCACUUGAUCAUCGUCACAGACACCGCCACACUAAGAAUUGUGCAGCUGCUCUACUUUCAGACGAGCACUGCAAUAGUACAUGCUACUCUCAGCGACUACUAACGUGAAGUUGCACUCAGGCUCUCGCAUAUACUAAAGAGUGCGGCUUUUGGACAUCCUUAGCACGAUAAGCGCAAACAUGAAAAUUAGACGCCACCUUGGAUUUGUCUGGUUGUUAACUUGUGGUCAUUAAACACAUAUAUAUUGUGCUCUGUCCAUAUGCUCUAGAGCAAACAAGCAAUGAUAGUGGACUGCAGUUUCUGGGGUAUCACGCCCAUUUAAACUGAUGGUGCAAGUUCAGCAGUGUCAUCAAUGGAACAAAUAAAG